CGGAGAGUGGUGUAACGGUAGCACGAGUCCUUUGGGAGGAUUUAGUUCGGGUUCAAAUCCCGACUCUCCGA
rnacentral:tRNA from 1 species